ACGAGGUUAGACGACGAGUG
rnacentral:miRNA from 1 species